rnacentral:rRNA from 1 species
CGCUGGCGGCAGGCCUAACACAUGCAAGUCGAGCGGAUGAAGGGAGCUUGCUCCCUGAUUUAGCGGCGGACGGGUGAGUAAUGCCUAGGAAUCUGCCUGGUAGUGGGGGAUAACGUUCCGAAAGGAACGCUAAUACCGCAUACGUCCUACGGGAGAAAGCAGGGGACCUUCGGGCCUUGCGCUAUCAGAUGAGCCUAGGUCGGAUUAGCUAGUUGGUGAGGUAAUGGCUCACCAAGGCGACGAUCCGUAACUGGUCUGAGAGGAUGAUCAGUCACACUGGAACUGAGACACGGUCCAGACUCCUACGGGAGGCAGCAGUGGGGAAUAUUGGACAAUGGGCGAAAGCCUGAUCCAGCCAUGCCGCGUGUGAAGAAGGUCUUCGGAUUGUAAAGCACUUUAAGUUGGGAGGAAGGGCAGUAAGUUAAUACCUUGCUGUUUUGACGUUACCGACAGAAUAAGCACCGGCUAACUUCGUGCCAGCAGCCGCGGUAAUACGAAGGGUGCAAGCGUUAAUCGGAAUUACUGGGCGUAAAGCGCGCGUAGGUGGUUCGUUAAGUUGGAUGUGAAAGCCCCGGGCUCAACCUGGGAACUGCAUCCAAAACUGGCGAGCUAGAGUACGGUAGAGGGUGGUGGAAUUUCCUGUGUAGCGGUGAAAUGCGUAGAUAUAGGAAGGAACACCAGUGGCGAAGGCGACCACCUGGACUGAUACUGACACUGAGGUGCGAAAGCG